rnacentral:rRNA from 1 species
CCUACGGGAGGCAGCAGUGGGGAAUAUUGGGCAAUGGGCGCAAGCCUGACCCAGCAACGCCGCGUGAAGGAAGAAGGCUUUCGGGUUGUAAACUUCUUUUGUCAGGGAAGAGUAGAAGACGGUACCUGACGAAUAAGCCACGGCUAACUACGUGCCAGCAGCCGCGGUAAUACGUAGGUGGCAAGUGUUGUACGGAUUUACUGGGUGUAAAGGGCGUGUAGCCGGGUUGACAAGUCAGCUGUGAAGUACUGCGGCUUAACCGCAGAAGUGCAUUGGAAACUGUUGGUCUUGAGUACUGGAGAGGCAGGCGGAAUUCCGAGUGUCGCGGUGAAGUGCGUAGAUAUUAGGAGGAACACCAGUGGCGAAGGCGGUCUGCUGGACAGCAACUGACGGUGAGGCGCGAAAGCGUGGGGAGCAAACAGGAUGAGAUACCCGAGUUC